rnacentral:rRNA from 1 species
GCGGCGUGCCUAACACAUGCAAGUCGAACGGAGUUCUUAAGGAAUGCGACUUCGGUCAAAUGACUUUUGAACUUAGUGGCGGACGGGUGAGUAACGCGUGAGCAACCUGCCUUUCAGAGGGGGAUAACAUUUGGAAACAGAUGCUAAUACCGCAUAAGAUUACAGUACCGCAUGAUACAGUGAUCAAAGGAGCAAUCCGCUGAAAGAUGGGCUCGCGUCCGAUUAGAUAGUUGGUGAGGUAACGGCUCACCAAGUCGACGAUCGGUAGCCGGACUGAGAGGUUGAACGGCCACAUUGGGACUGAGACACGGCCCAGACUCCUACGGGAGGCAGCAGUGGGGAAUAUUGCACAAUGGGCGAAAGCCUGAUGCAGCAACGCCGCGUGAGGGAAGACGGUUUUCGGAUUGUAAACCUCUGUUUUCGGUGACGAAUAAAUGACGGUAACCGAGUAGGAAGCCACGGCUAACUACGUGCCAGCAGCCGCGGUAAUACGUAGGUGGCAAGCGUUAUCCGGAAUUACUGGGUGUAAAGGGAGCGCAGGCGGGAUAGCAAGUCAGCUGUGAAAACUAUGGGCUCAACCCAUAAACUGCAGUUGAAACUGUUAUUCUUGAGUGGAGUAGAGGCAAGCGGAAUUCCGAGUGUAGCGGUGAAAUGCGUAGAUAUUGGGAGGAACACCAGUGGCGAAGGCGGCUUGCUGGGCUUUAACUGACGCUGAGGCUCGAAAGUGUGGGGAGCAAACAGGAUUAGAUACCCUGGUAGUCCACACUGUAAACGAUGAUUGCUAGGUGUGGGGGGUCUGACCCCCUCCGUGCCGGAGUUAACGCAAUAAGCAAUCCACCUGGGGAGUACGGCCGCAAGGUUGAAAC